GGAAAGGCCCACCCUAAGUUUGAAUUUCAAAAACCCUUUUCCAAUUUUGGAUCGACAACCCUUUUCUGAAAAAAAUCGUCUCAUUUCAGAAAGGGAGGGGAGAAUCGACACUUGAGAUCGGUUGCCUCGUACUUGAGACUCUACGUGGACUCAUCUCGCCACGUCAAGGACUAAUUCGCGUGCCUUGCUCUGUUGUUGCGAAUCAAAUGAGUUGAGGGCAUGAUAUUGGCCUGCUCUUCCCCACUUUCCGUUACACUUGC
rnacentral:misc_RNA from 1 species